UCAAAGGGCUGGGAUAGGGCUGCAAAGCAAAAGGCAUAAAUCACUCAGCUCUUCCCUCCCUGAGCUCUCCUGCAGCCAGCACAUGCACACCACCUCCCUUCUGGAUGAGGCUUUGGCAUGAACGGCAGAUCCCAUUAAUGCUCCUUCAUGUUACCACAGCAGAGCAGCGCUUGGCAAGAGGAUGCAGGAUACUCCCUCAAGAAAACUUUGAAGGAACAGUGCUGCACGGCUGAACUAGACGGGGGAUAACAUUUUUACUACUGAUAAUGGAGACAAGAGUUCUUUAAUUCAUAAGCUUUUUGAAAGGUUUCCAAGAAUACCAGGCAAGGAAAUGAAAUCUGCAUCCCAAGGAAAUGAUCCCUUUCCAAAAUUGUUAAUCUUUCCUUAUGACAUGUUUUGGAAUACAAAUGUAUCCAGAGGGGGUUUAUUCAGCAAUAUGUUGUGUUCAUGUAAGUGAUCAAAUUGGGGUUUAUUAUAGUGGUACAUAUGUUAACAAUAACUCAAACUUUUAUUCACCCUGUUUCACCACCACAGCUGCUCUUGGUUUUUCUUACAGCCCCACCCAGUGACACUUGGAACACAAGCAGAUACACGUAUGUAUUACAGGGAGUGAUGUUUUACAUUGUUAUUAGAGAACUCGGCUUCCUUCAGCAUGCAACAUUAUCAUAACAAACUCAUGACUGCAUACUUUAACUGUCACUAUAUUGCAUUCCAUUUAUGCUGGAAUCAGCAGAAUUAGAAACCAGAUCUGGUUCCUACAUUCACUUCUGAUGAAUUUUUGCAGUACAGGGACUGAAGGCAAUUACAGGGCGUCUGGAUGUGCCAGAUUCAAUCCAUUUGUAGGUCUGUCCCCUCAGCACAUUCAACGAAGCUAUUUAAGGGUUCUGUGUAACGGGACGUACAAGUAAAUAAAGACAACAAGGACUUAAUAUUAAAUUCAGUAAGCGGCUUAUAAGUGAUGAGUAUUUCCUCCAAAAAGAAAAAAUGUUGUGGAUGAGAAACAGAGAGGGGUAUGCUAUGCAUCUGAGUGUAUGCAGUGAGAAAUUCUGAAGUUCCCAAAUAGGGCGCCCCUUAAAAGAGUAUCCCCAGAAGGAAGUGAAAUAUAAGCACGUUUCCAAGAACGAGUAGCAAUUCUGGUUAUUCAGAUAGAGACAAUUCUGCAUCAUAAAAUUCAAGCAUCUUAAAGUCUCUUAAGACAGGCAUAAAAAAAUGUAAACAUUAACCAUCACAAGUCCUGAAAGCAUAGAAUUUCCUCCUCCUCUUAUUUUGAGGAAGAAGUAACAAGACUUUUUUUUAUUAUUAUUUUUUAACUCAAAACAUUGCUUAGAAACAGCAGGUCUUAGAUCAAGAACCAAAUGGGGAAAGUUAAAAAUUCACUAACAUCUGGCUUGGGCAGUACGAAUUCUGAGAAUAUAACUAUUUUUUCUUUUAUUCCCUGAACUCAGAACAGAAGGCAUUUUACACCAGAAUCUUAACAGUUUGCUGAUGACUAGGUCCUAGACAGUUCAAAAGAAACUUCUAAAACUAAGUUUACUAGAAAGCCAAUGCUCUAAAUAAAGUAAGAGGAAGGGAAAUGUGUCAUGAUGGUAAAAACAACCUUCUUCAAACACAAAUCUUAAACAACAGGCUCUUGAACAUGCACAAAACCUGAAGUCCCAAAUGAAACAGCCUGCUUUUCCUCUGCAAUAAAAAGUGGCAUCAACCUGAACAACAUUUGCAGACCUUAAUAAUAAACAUCCAUCUAGACCAUUUCAAACCCUUACAAACAAUGGUUGGUAAGUGAGCGUGUUGCUAAUGAAAACCAAAGGAUGCACCACCGUAGUUACCCAUGGGGAUAACCAGAGGAUAUUACAGAUGGGAUAGAGACCGUCUUCCUUCUUGAGAAUGAAAGGUUAAAGAUACCACAGCGAGAGGUGUUGAGCAAGGAAGCUUUCCACCUUCUCCGUACCUGGACAUGAACAGCACAAGGACGACACUCAGGACGGAGCAGAUUCUUUCUCAGUUUUUGUAAGUGCUUAGAAAAUACUUGGGAUACUUCGGAAAUACUUGGGUUGUAUGCAAAUAAACAAUGGCAAGAGUAAAACAGUGUGCUGUUUAUACAUCCACACACAGACAUGAAUUUUAUAUCCAUGUCAGUUUAAGAAGGAUAUGAAAUGUCUUCAUUCUAAAAGAGUAAGAAAAAGUCUUCCAAUAAAGAUAUCCUGAAGGAGACAAAUACAGACUGUGUGCUUGGAAAGGUGCAUUGCUCUCAUUUCUUCUGCAAAUACUUAUUCUAAAUGAAUAGUUCUCCAACAAAACCUCAUUUUACCAUGCUCAGCAUUCAGUUUGUUCUUUCUAUUAUGUUGAAAUGUAAGAAAAUUGUUUCUUAUUAUGCAAU